UACCAUGAAAAAGGUGUAAUCGGAGUCAGGCAGUAAAUUCUGAGUCACGAACGCAACAAACUCGUUCCACCCUCACAUGUUUGGUUUGUACAGAGUCAAACUAUCAAACCUACAUCAGUUCCCCACUUCUUCCUGACAGCAUCGACCACGUCAUGCAGCUCGUCCAGCUCCUUCAACGAGUCCUCUGGCUUGAGAUUGUGUAGAGCACCGACCUGUAGUUGGACAGCUGAAGCGCAGAACGAAGGGCUCUCUGGCGAAGGCGUCCACAUCUCCAACUUGAUUAUCUUCAUACUGGUGUCUCGUCCCAGCUGGCUGCUGGAGGUCAUGGAGUAGGGACGGGUUUGGUUGGAGCUGAGGGGAAACAGAAACAACACCAAAGAAGAGUACUAUAAUGUUACA